rnacentral:misc_RNA from 1 species
GAUGAAGAACGUAGCGAAAUGCGAUAAGUAGUGUGAAUUGCAGAAUACAGUGAAUCAUCGAAUCUUUGAACGCACAUUGCGCCCCUUGGUACUCCAUGGGGCAUGCCUGUUCGAGCGUCAUUUACACCCUCAAGCUCAGCUUGGUGUUGGGCGUCUGUCCCGCUUCGUGCGCGGACUCGCCUCAAAUGCAUUGGCAGCGGUCUUGCCAGCUUCUCGCGCAGCACAUUGCGCUUCUAGAGGCUUUGGCGGAUCGGCGUCCAUCAAGUACACCCACAGUUUGACCUCGGAUCAGGUAGGGAUACCCGCUGAACUUAAGCAUAUCAAUAAGCGGAGGA